rnacentral:misc_RNA from 1 species
GUGAAGAACGUAGCGAAAUGCGAUAAGUAGUGUGAAUUGCAGAAUUCAGUGAAUCAUCGAAUCUUUGAACGCACAUUGCGCCCCUUGGUAUUCCAUGGGGCAUGCCUGUUCGAGCGUCAUUUGUACCCUCAAGCUUUGCUUGGUGUUGGGCGUCUUGUCGUAUUACGACUCGCCUUAAAUACAUUGGCAGCCGGCACUUUGGCCUAGGAGCGCAGCACAUUUUGCGAUCGUAGCCCGUUGUACUGGCGUCCAUCAAGAACAUUUACCACGUUUGACCUCGGAUCAGGUAGGGAUACCCGCUGAACUUAAGCAUAUCAAUAAGCGGAGGA